CUUUGUCAGAUUCACAGUUUGUGAACAUUUUCUCCCAUUCUGUAGGUGGUCUGUUGACCCUGUUGAUGGUUUCUUUUACUGUGCAGAAGCUCUCUCAUUGAAUUAGGUCCUACUUGUGAAUUUUUGUUUUUGCUACAAUUGCUUUUGUGGACUUGGCCAUAAAUUCUUUGCCACGUCUGAUGUUGAGAAUGAUAUUUCCUAGGUUUUCUUCUACACUUUUUCUGCUUUGAGGUCCCAGUAUAUAUUGUGUCAUUGCAAAUGACAACCAACCACAGACUAAUCAUUACAAGCCAAGAAAGGGAACUUAUUGGUGACCAGGAAAAAUGUCCAACAAAUGAAAAUUAGUAAAAGACAUUCCUGGGUGUCUUUUUCUGUAAAGUGUGGGGCAUUGUUGUCUAUAGAGUUCAGCAAACUUUUUCUGUAAAGGGCCAGGGAGAUAGGAAGUAUUCUAGGCUUGUGAGCCAAGAGGCAAAAUUAAGGAUAUUAUGUAGGUGCACAUAUAACCAGGAAGAAGGCAAAUUUCUAUACCAUUUUCAUUGAUGAGAUUCUAAACUAACAAUAGUAACUGAGUAGAACUUCUCAGGUGGUAAAUGUUCUUUGCAUUGAGAGCCUAGGCUCAACUUUCCUAGGCUCCCUGGUACAGCCCUCCCUUUCCACCCCUCAGGCUGUUUCCCUCCCUGUUUUCCUCAGAAGAAGAGUUCCAAACAAAAGAUCUACUACCCUGAGAAGCGGUGAAGUGCUCCUGGGGCCCACCAAGGCCACACAAGUCAAGGAGUGGAUGGCCUUGCCCCAGCUAUGGCUCAGAUCACCUUUGCAGGAUGACAUCUUGUUGGGAGAUGGUCAUCAGAGACAGGGCCAUGGAAGACGCUGUCAGGAGGAGGCACAGAGGAAAGGCUAUGGGAGCACAAAGCAAGAAAGUGGCCUUCUGCAAGCCAGGAAGAGAGGCCUCCCCAGAAACCAACUCUACCAGCACAUUGAUCUUGGACUUUUGGCCUCUAGAACAUUGAGAAAAUAAAAGUCUGCUGUUAAACCACCCAACCUUUGGUAUCUUUCUAUGGCAGCCUGAGCUGACUAACACCCUUGGUAGGUGGGCAGCAUUCACCUUAUUGGGCUACAUGAUGAGAAGUUAAAGUAACUUUAGCAAUAGGCACCAUUUGAUUUCAUUGUAUAGAUAUUGUGUCUUUUGCACUGAUUUUGCCUUUUUUAGUUGUGUGUAUAUUGAUGCCUGGGCCUAGCAUUACAAGACUAGUCGAAAUGGGAAG
rnacentral:lncRNA from 10 species